rnacentral:tRNA from 1 species
UAGAAAAUAGUUUAAAAGGAAAAACAAAGAAUUUUGAUUUCUUUAAUUUAAGUUCAACUCUUACUUUUCUAA